CACCUGACGCCAGGGCAGGCUGGUCCGGGACUGAACCGGGUGAGAGCGCCUGUCAUGUACCGACCGACCAAAGUUUGUAGGAGCGAUACGAGGACACGAGCAACCAGUCUGAACCACUUUCAGACUCAGGAACUUGUGCACAGUGAAUCAGGCGCACAGAAGUUGGUCCGCCCGCCGUUGGAGGUGCCGCCAUAAAGACGGGCCCACUAGACAGGCACUUCUCAGAUGGAGCCGGGGCACCCAACACAUAGGCCAAGAUUGAAGCGGUUACCCAGAAGUGGGGCCGCACUCAGGGCCUGCACACUUUUACACAGAAAGGCAGGUACAACCAACAGAUGCCCAGCGACAGAAGAUAGAAACCAGGCAAGGCAGGAACACUGGCACCGUGUGAGAACUGUACUAUUGGCUACCCUGCAAAACUCACCCACCCCACCAGCACCCACCCCUCCACGAGGGUGCCUGUACUUCCCAGCAACCCCAGGCUGUGGAGAGAGGGAGCCCACCACCCCCUUGUCAACUCCAGACUGAUGACAGCGACCACCUGCUGUGCUGUCAGUCACACCAGCACGCACUGGACCCUCGCCACUCCUACAGGUGCUGGAUUGUCACUGCCAGCUUUGGGCCUCUCUGGCCAGGAUCGGCUGGGGGCUCCACCUGUGCUCCCAGGCCCCCUGGUGAGUUAGAGCAGCAGGACGGAGUGAUGAAUCACAAGGCUCCUGCCCUCCUGGAAUGAGCUGUGGUCACUCUCUCUUCCGGCUUGUGAUAGUGGCUCCUUCCUGAGAAGCUGACUCUCUUCUGUAGAACCCAGGGCUGUGCUGGGGAACUCCACUUACGGCUGCAUUUGGCAAACCUUGGCCCCGUCCCCAGAGCCCUCAUCCACUCUACCUCUUGCACUUCCUUCUCAGACCUCCACUCCUCAUUUCCUUCCUGGAGGCUGCCCGCCUUCCAGCUCCCUGCCUGUGGCCAGCCAGUGUGGGUGAACACUAGGAAACUGCAGGGCCUGUCACCCCUCAGGUGGAUAGCGGAGGCCGAAGGGAAGGUCCCAGAAAUGAAUUUGGGCAGCCUUCCUGGGGAGGACACGGGAACCCGGCCACCUCUAUGAGACGUCUGGGAGAGAGCUCCCUAAGUAGAGUAGCUGCAGAGGUGACAGAUUCAGCAAGGCGUCCUGGGAGACUGAGAACUAUGUCCUUCCCAGGGUUUGAGGCUUUUUGUGUAUUUAUGCCUCUUUCCUUUUUUGGUUUUGGAGAUUGAACCCAGCGCCUUUGAGCUACAUCCCUAGACCUUUAAUUUUUUCCCCCCAGUUUAUAACAGGUUCUAAAUUGUCCAGAUUGGAUUUUAACUUGUUUUGUUUUUCCUUAUUCAUUU